UACGUAGGGUGCGAGCGUUGUCCGGAAUUAUUGGGCGUAAAGAGCUUGUAGGCGGUUUGUCGCGUCUGCCGUGAAAUUUCGAGGCUCAACCUCGAACUUGCGGUGGGUACGGGCAGACUAGAGUGCGGCAGAGGAGACUGGAAUUCCUGGUGUAGCAGUGAAAUGCGUAGAUAUCAGGAGGAAUACCGAUGGCGAAGGCAGGUCUCUGGGCUGACACUGACGCUCAUGCACGAAAGCGUGGGGAGCAAACAGG
rnacentral:rRNA from 1 species